CCAACAGAAUGUGGCAGAAGGGACACCGUCCCCGUCUGCGGCCUCCCCUCGGAGGAUGUCUGGCGGCUUCUGCUUCUGUAUUCUCAGAAGACUGGAGCUGCUAUCCAAGAAGUCGAGAUCCCCGGCUGGAAAGAUCAGCUGGAGAAGCCACGCAGGGAGGAGAAAGGCUCAGUCACCCCAGACUCUGCCUCACACCUCCAGGGGACUCCAGCUCCACUGCCAUAGGACUAUGACUGCAGGGGGACCCAAAGGAGACGUCACAGAACCACACAGCUGACCUCAGUCAACCUGCACAACUGUGAAAGAUAAUAAAACUAGACUUAAGCCGCUAAAUGCUGGAGUGUUUUGCUCUACAGCAAUAGAUACUAAACUUGCUAUGAGAGACAUUAGAUGAGGCAGUGCUCAAUUCUGCCUUCGGGUGGGAUUAUGUUUUACAGAAGAGGUAAAGCCUAUGUGAAGUCCAUCUAAAGGGCAGUGAUUGUGAAGACCUUCUAGCAGACAGACUGAGAAGUACAAAGGCCUCAGAAGAUUAUGAAGUACUUGAGGGCAGCGGCUUUUUCUUCUUCAUUGCUGCACCCAACAUCUAAAACACCAACUGGUGCAGGGAGGCACACAGCAUUUCUCAAAUGAACAACUGAAGAACAUCACUUAAAGUACCACCCAAGGCUCUGCUCCUUUCCGAAGAACCCACUGUGGUCAGGCAGCUAAAACCAUCUCCAUAUAAUAAAACACACAUGGUCUUCCCUAGGAGUUUGCUGUUACCUCCGCCAGUCACUGGACUUUUCUGGGCCCCGGUCCCAUUUGUAAAAGUGUGGAAAACAACACCUCCUUCACUGGACUUCUGCGAAUAAAGGCUAUUAACGUCAAACGAUAACGUUAUCCAAUAUUAACGUUAUCCAAUAUUAAUAUCCAAAAUUAACCAGAAGUCGAUGUAUUAUCGACUGAAAUAAGCAAAAAAGGAAACUCUUAACACCCGCGGCUGGAUUUGGUUUUUAAGCAAAUGUGACGUUGUCUGCAGAAACACCGAGCCAGGUAAAGCCACACCUACUUGUUUCGGUA